CCUACAGAAUGAGAGAAAAUAAUUGCAAACUAUGCAUCUGAGAAGGUUUAAUUAUCCAACAUUACAAGGAGCUUAAACAAAUUUACAAGGAAAAAAAAACAUUAAAUAGUGGGCAAAGGACAUAAACAGACACUUUUCAAAAGAAGACAUACAUGUGGCCAAAAAGCACAUUAAAAAAGAUCAAUAUCACUGAUCAUUAGAAAAAUGCAAAUUAAAACCACAAUGAGAUAUCCUCUCACACCAGUCAGAAUGGCUAUAAUUUUUUUAAACUUCUAUUUAAGUUCAGGGGUACAUGUGUAGGUUUGUUACAUAGGUAAACUUGUGUCAUGGGGUUUAUUAUACAGAUUAUUCCAUCACCCAGGUAUUAAACUUGGUUUCCAUUAGAUUUUUUUUUUUUUUUUUUUUUUUUUUUUUGCUUAUCCUCUUCCUCCUCCUACCCUCCACCCUCCAAUAGGCCCCAGUACAUUGUUUCCCUCCAUGUGUCCAUGUGUUCUCAGCAUUUAGCUCUCACUUAUAAGUGAGAACAUGUGGUAUUUGGUUUUCUGUUCCUGCAUUAGUUUGGUAAGGAUAAUGGCUUCCAGCUGCAUCCACGUCCCUGAAAAAGACAUGAUCUUAUUCUUUUUCAUGGCUGCAUAGUAUUCCAUAGUGUAUAUGUACCACAUUUUCUUUAUCCAUUCUUCCACAGAUAGCAUUUAGGUUGAUUCUAUGUCUUUGCUAUUGUGAAUAGUGCUGCAUUGAGCAUACAUGUGCACGUGUCUUCAUGAUAGAAUGAUUUCUAUUCCUUUGAGUACAUAUCCAGUAAUGGGAUUGCUGAGUCGAAUGGUAUUCCUGUCUUCAGGUCUUUGAAGAAUCACCACACUGCCUUCUAUAAUGGCUGAACUAAUUUACACUCCUGCCAAGAAUAUAUAAGUGUUCCCAUUUCUCCACAACCUGGCUAGCAUCUAUUAUUUUUGGACUUUUUAAUGAUAGCCCACAAUGACUGUAAUGAAUAUACCUGUGUGCCUUUAUGAUAGAAUGACUUAUAUUCCCCUGGUGUAUUCCUUUGGGUAUAGCCAAAGCAAUGUAAAUCAUGGGGAAAAUGCCUUUAUCUCCUUUUGAUGAGAAUAUUAGAAAAAUAAUAUAUUUUUGGAAACAUAAUAUUUAGAGACAUAAUAUAUGUCUCCAAAGUUAGGCUUAUACUUUGUUUCUCAAUGAUAGCCCAGAAUGGCUAUUAUUAAAAGUUAUAAGGGGAAGGUAAAUUAUGAGAACACAUGGACACAUGGGGGGAACAACCGAAACUGGGAUCUACUUGAGGGUGGAGGGUGAGAUGAGGAAGAGGAUCAGAAGAAAUAUUGGGUACUAGGCUUAUUACCUGAGUGACAAAAUAUCUGUACAUUAAACCCCCCAUAACAAACCUGCACAUAUACCUGAACCUAAAAUAAAAGCUUUUUUUUUUUUUUUUUCAGACGGAGUCUCGCUCUGUCGCCCAGGCAUGAUCUCUGCUCACUGCAAGCUCUGCCUCCCAGGUUCACGCCAUUCUCCUGCCUCAGCCUCCUG
rnacentral:lncRNA from 1 species